CCUGAUGUUAGAGCGGGGCUUGAACCUGACGAUCGCCCUGUCAACCUUUAAUGGAACCGGUACGGAGAAAAGAUUAUGGUCUGGUCUUGGCGCGAAACUCAAGUCUACUCCAACCACCGGUCUGCUCCUUCUGGGGGAGGCGAUAACGUUCUGCGAUCACGUCACAAUGUUCGGUUUCUACCCGUUCAACAAGGACCGUCAGAACCGCACGAUUCCCUACCACUACUGGAGAGACUUCACAGCAUUCCCCUCCAAAACACCUCACAAAUUUGUAGCUGAGUACAAGCUACUUGGAGCUCUAAUCAAUGAUGGGAUUAUGAACCACACAGUGGACUGCAACGUCAUUGAAUAGACCACAGAACAGACGAGAACGAACGAACGAGACGGAAUCUUUUCAGACGAAAUGAAAGUUUCUUUAUUGUGGACCCCACUCAUAAGAUGGUCUUGGACAGCUGUGUGCCUCUUGGAGUGAUCUCCAAGCAGAUCGUAACAGCUGGUCAUAAUCUUGAGUAGCAGUCACUAUUUGCCACUGGAAUGAACUGCUGUAUCUAUGUAUUUGACCAGGGAUUUAGCUACUUUUACGAUACGUUGUUACCGGUUGUGAAGUGCUCACAUACUGUUUACAUAUACCCUAUACUGUUCCCAAUCUGCAAAAUAUGAAACUUCACGGAGAAUUUUCGCCUAUGACUACUUGUUUGUUUUGCGCCAAGUAUUAAAGGGGCAAUCAACUGUAACGUAAAAUGUCUCCCGUGCGCAAAUGAAUUUUCUUACAAAGGCCAACGGGAGAAGCUAAACCUGGGUGCGGGUGUAACGUCAUUAUUCAAUAAUUCAUCAUUGCAAAAUAAGCUACUAUGAACGAACGAAAAAGGAGAAAGGUUAUUUUUUAAACCUAUUAAAUUCAACAAGCAUAAAGCCUGUCCUGUCGGCCAACCCAAAAAGUGCCGAUAUGUCUAAAAAUAACCCCCGGAGAAAGCAUUUUGAUGUUUCAUACCCUUGUUUAUUUUACGCCGAGCAUAGGGACAGUCAUUGUAAAAUGUCGGACCCCGUGUAAAGAGGAAUGUUUUUACAAAGGUCAACGGGAGACGGUCGGUGUAGUUACAGGUCUAGGUGACAUUGACAUUGCCAAAAGCUAGACGAGCGGUGUGGCAGACGCCUUUUCUUGAAAGAUCUCUUAAAAAUAACGCUUAUCAGACUGAACUGGUCGGUCCACUACGCAUUAUGAUGAGGAUUUUAGAUCUUAAAAAGGUGUCUUUCGUCUUGUUGGUGGUUGCGACAGCAAUGGUGGUUGUGUGGUAUAGACAGCUCUCAACGUCUAUGUCGUCUAUGUGAGUACUGGAUCAUGAUCAGCUAGUAUGUUUCUUGCUUGACAACCUCUUGCUUAC